rnacentral:rRNA from 1 species
UACAGGGGGUGCAAACGUUGCUCGGAAUCAUUGGGCGUAAAGCGCACGUAGGCGGUUCGUUAUGUCGGAUGUGAAAGCCCUUGGCUUAACCGAGGAAGUGCAUCCGAAACUGGCGAGCUAGAGUACGAAAGAGGAUCGCGGAAUUCCCGGUGUAGAGGUGAAAUUCGGUAGAUAGUCGGGAGGAACACCGGUGGCGAAGGCGGCGAUCUGGGUCGAUACUGACGCUGAGGUGGCGAAAAGCGUGGGGAGCAAACAGG